GGCUCAGUGGUCUAGUCGCAUGAUUGCUGCUUCGGGCUCUUCCGCCCUGGUUCUGAGAACCGUGAAUGUAGCAGGUCCCGGGUUCAAAUCCCGGCUGAGCCC